rnacentral:rRNA from 1 species
UACGUAGGGUGCAAGCGUUGUCCGGAAUUAUUGGGCGUAAAGAGCCCGUAGGUGGUUUGUUACGUCUGCUGUGAAAACCUAGGGCUUAACCCUGGGCCUGCAGUGGAUACGGGCAGACUAGAGGUAGGUAGGGGAGAAUGGAAUUCCCGGUGUAGCGGUGAAAUGCGCAGAUAUCGGGAGGAACACCGGUGGCGAAGGCGGUUCUCUGGGCCUUACCUGACACUGAGGAGCGAAAGCGUGGGGAGCGAACAGG